GGGCGACGGUUGUCCCGGUUUAAGCAUGUAGGCUGGUUGUCCAGGCAAAUCCGGAUAAUCAAGGCUGAGGUGUGAUGACGAGGCACUACGGUGCUGAAGUAACAAAUGCCCUGCUUCCAGGAAAAGCCUCUAAGCAUCAGGUAACAUCAAAUCGUACCCCAAACCGACACAGGUGGUCAGGUAGAGAAUACCAAGGCGCUUGAGAGAACUCGGGUGAAGGAACUAGGCAAAAUGGUGCCGUAACUUCGGGAGAAGGCACGCUGGUGUGUAGGUGAAGCCCCUGCGGGUGGAGCUGAGACCAGUCGAAGAUACCAGCUGGCUG
rnacentral:rRNA from 1 species